rnacentral:rRNA from 1 species
GACGAACGCUGGCGGCGUGCUUAACACAUGCAAGUCGAACGGAAAGGCCCCUUUGGGGGUACUCGAGUGGCGAACGGGUGAGUAACACGUGAGUAACCUGCCCUUGACUUCGGGAUAACUUCAGGAAACUGGGGCUAAUACCGGAUAGGAAUCCUUGCUGCAUGGUGGGGGUUGGAAAGCUUCGGCGGUUUUGGAUGGACUCGCGGCUUAUCAGCUUGUUGGUGGGGUAGUGGCUUACCAAGGCUUUGACGGGUAGCCGGCCUGAGAGGGCGACCGGCCACAUUGGGACUGAGAUACGGCCCUGACUCCUACGGGAGGCAGCAGUGGGGAAUAUUGCACAAUGGGCGGAAGCCUGAUGCAGCAACGCCGCGGGCGGGAUGACGGCCUUCGGGUUGUAAACCGCUUUCAGCAGGGGCGAAGCUUGUGGUGACGGUACCUGCAGAAGAAGCACCGGCUAACUACGUG